AGGGAAGUAGUGCGAGUGGUUGCAGCAUAAGUUAAAUAUCUAGAGAUGAAAGUAAAGAGGGAUGGAGGAGAUUCCCUUUGCCGGCAUUUGAAAUCUGUAUGGAAGUACACCAUCAGCAAAUCCCCUCGUCAUCUGUCUGCUCUUCUCUCCUGCCUUUGCCCCUAAGUCUACUGAUGGAGGUUGGGAGGGACACUCUUAUCAUUGUGAGAAAUUAUAAGCAGACUCCAUCUGCAUUCAGAAAUCACAAAGGGAAGUAAAACAGCUAUGCCUGCAUAAUCCAGAUGUUGAUGAAUACAGGGACCCAGAAUGCCCUUCCAUCCUUCAAAAACAUUCCAAAGCCCAACCUACAAUCAAAAUCAAGACCAUCCAACAGCAAGGAGUUGAACAAUAAAACUUAAUUACUAUAACACUUGCAAGGCCAAGAU
rnacentral:lncRNA from 10 species